rnacentral:tRNA from 7 species
UACGGACUAAAAUCCGUUGGCUUUUUAGACCGUGAGGGUUCAAGUCCCUCUACCCCCA